AGAGUUUGAUCCUGGCUCAGAAUCAACGCUGGCGGCGCGCUUAACACAUGCAAGUCGAACGAGAAAGCGGGGGCAACCUCGUGAGUAAAGUGGCGUACGGGUGAGUAACACGUGGGUAAUCUACCUCUUGGUGGGGAAUAACGCUGGGAAACCGGCGCUAAUACCGCAUAAGCUCGGGAGAGGAAAGCAGCAAUGCGCCGAGAGAGGAACCCGCGGCCGAUUAGCUAGUUGGUGAGGUAACGGCCCACCAAGGCUAAGAUCGGUAGCCGGCCUGAGAGGGCACACGGCCACACUGGCACUGAAACACGGGCCAGACUCCUACGGGAGGCAGCAGUGGGGAAUCUUGCACAAUGGGGGCAACCCUGAUGCAGCGACGCCGCGUGAGCGAUGAAGCCCUUCGGGGUGUAAAGCUCUUUCGGCAGGGAAGAAUCAUGACGGUACCUGCAGAAGCAGCUGCGGCUAACUACGUGCCAGCAGCCGCGGUAAUACGUAGGCAGCGAGCGUUGUUCGGAGUUACUGGGCGUAAAGGGUGUGUAGGCGGUCCUCUAAGUUUGGUGUGAAAUCUCCCGGCUCAACCGGGAGGGUGCGCCGAAAACUGGGGGACUAGAGUGCGGGAUGGGAAAGUGGAAUUCCUGGUGUAGCGGUGAAAUGCGUAGAUAUCAGGAGGAACCCGGUGGUGUAGACGGCUUUCUGGACCGUAACUGACGCUGAGACACGAAAGCGUGGGUAGCAAACAGGAUUAGAUACCCUAGUAGUCC
rnacentral:rRNA from 1 species